rnacentral:rRNA from 1 species
AUUGAACGCUGGCGGCAGGCCUAACACAUGCAAGUCGAGCGGAUGAGAAGAGCUUGCUCUUCGAUUCAGCGGCGGACGGGUGAGUAAUGCCUAGGAAUCUGCCUGGUAGUGGGGGACAACGUUUCGAAAGGAACGCUAAUACCGCAUACGUCCUACGGGAGAAAGCAGGGGACCUUCGGGUCUUGCGCUAUCAGAUGAGCCUAGGUCGGAUUAGCUAGUUGGUGAGGUAAUGGCUCACCAAGGCGACGAUCCGUAACUGGUCUGAGAGGAUGAUCAGUAACACUGGAACUGAGACAAGGUCCAGCCUCCUACGGGAGGCAGCAGUGGGGAAUAUUGGACAAUGGGCGAAAGCCUGAUCCAGCCAUGCCGCGUGUGUGAAGAAGGUCUUCGGAUUGUAAAGCACUUUAAGUUGGGAGGAAGGGCAGUAAGUUAAUACCUUGCUGUUUUGACGUUACCGACAGAAUAAGCACCGGCUAACUCUGUGCCAGCCGCCGCAGUAAAAC